GAAAAGCCCGAAAUCAAAAUGAAGCUUGCUAAACCCAGAUGUCCGACCUUAUGCUUAUGAUUGUGUGUGUGCGUUUACGGCGGGCUGGCUGUUCGUGGGAGGUAUGAUGGUGCUGAAGGGUGGUUUAGUCACUGGUUUCCAGGUGGUUGAUGACAAUGAAGGGUUGUUGCUGGGCGUCACUGGCAGCGGAGGAGUUGAAACAGCAGCUGGUGGCGUGGGGGGACUCGUUUUUAGCUUCCCAUGGUUGCUUCUUUUCUUGUGAAGAAGAUGGA
rnacentral:lncRNA from 1 species